UUCGUAGGCGGCAUGUCAAGUCUGGUGUUAAAGCCCGGGGCUCAACCCCGGUUUCGCACCGGAUACUGGCAAGCUAGAGUGCAGAAGAGGCAAGGGGAAUUCCCAGUGCAGCGGUGAAAUGCGUAGAUAUUGGGAGGAACACCGGUGGCGUAAGCGCCUUGCUGGGCUGUUACUGACGCUGAGGAACGAAAGCCGGGGGAGCGAAUGG
rnacentral:rRNA from 1 species